rnacentral:rRNA from 1 species
GACAGAGGGGGCAAGCGUUGCUCGGAAUUACUGGGCGUAAAGGGCGCGUAGGCGGGAUGGCAAGUCGGUCGUGAAAUCCCUCGGCUCAACCGAGGAACGUCGAUCGAUACUGCUGUUCUUGAGGAUUGCAGAGGAGACUGGAAUUCCCGGUGUAGCGGUGAAAUGUGUAGAGAUCGGGAGGAACACCGGUGGCGAAGGCAGGUCUCUGGGCAUUAACUGACGCUGAGGAGCGAAAGCAUGGGGAGCGAACAGG